rnacentral:rRNA from 1 species
GACGAACGCUGGCGGCGUGCUUAACACAUGCAAGUCGAACGGAAAGGCCCUGCUUUUGUGGGGUGCUCGAGUGGCGAACGGGUGAGUAACACGUGAGUAACCUGCCCUUGACUUUGGGAUAACUUCAGGAAACUGGGGCUAAUACCGGAUAGGAGCUCCUGCUGCAUGGUGGGGGUUGGAAAGUUUCGGCGGUUGGGGAUGGACUCGCGGCUUAUCAGCUUGUUGGUGGGGUAGUGGCUUACCAAGGCUUUGACGGGUAGCCGGCCUGAGAGGGUGACCGGCCCCAUUGGGACUGAGAUACGGCCCAGACUCCUACGGGAGGCAGCAGUGGGGAAUAUUGCACAAUGGGCGGAAGCCUGAUGCAGCAACGCCGCGUGCUGGAUGACGGCCUUCGGGUUGUAAACCGCUUUCGCCUGUGACGAAGCGUGAGUGACGGUAAUGGGUAAAGAAGCACCGGCUAACUACGUG